rnacentral:rRNA from 1 species
CCCUUAGAUGUUCUGGGCCGCACACGCGCUACACUGAAGGAGGCAGCGUGUACUCCUGGAUCGAAAGAUUUGGGUAACCCGCGAAUCUCCUUCGUGCUAGGGAUUGAGGUUUGCAAUUAUCCUUCAUGAACGAGGAAUUCCCAGUAAGUGCAAGUCAUAAGCUUGCGCUGACUACGUCCCUGCCCUUUGUACACACCGCCCGUCGCUACUACCGAUUGAAUGAUUUAGUGAGGGCUUCGGACUGGGACCGAUGCGGCUUUCGGGCUGCGUCGGUAUUCUGGAAAGAUGUCCAAACUGUAUCAUUUAGAGGAAGUAAAAGUCGUANCA